rnacentral:rRNA from 1 species
GAUUAACGCUGGCGGCGUGCAUAACACAUGCAAGUCGAACGAUGAAACUUAACUGAUUUCUUCGGAAUGAUUUUAAGUGGAUUAGUGGCGGACGGGUGAGUAACGCGUGAGUAACCUGCCUUGGAGAAGGGGAUAGCCUUUGGAAACGAAGAAUAAUACCCUAUGAUAUGAUAAUAUCUCAUGAUAUUAUCAUCAAAGAUUUAUCGCUCUAAGAUGGACUUGCGUCUGAUUAGUUAGUUGGUGAGGUAACAGCUCACCAAGGCAGCGAUCAGUAGCCGGCUUGAGAGAGUGUACUGCCACAUUGGGACUGAGACACGGCCCAGACUCCUACGGGAGGCAGCAGUGGGGACUUUUGCACAUUGGGGGAAACCCUGAUGCAGCGACGCCGCGUGAUUUAGAAGGCCUUCGGAUUGUAAAAAUCUUUUGUAUGGGAAGAAAAUGACAGUACCAUACGAAUAAGGACCGGCUAAUUACGUG